GACGGUUCUCAGGUGACACAGCCCGGAACCGGGCCCCCUCCUGUCUGGUUCUGGGUGUGUCACCUGAGAACUGAA
rfam:Myotis brandtii contig233462, whole genome shotgun sequence.